rnacentral:lncRNA from 1 species
GGAAUCCCAGGGCUCCCAGUAACCCCAGUAAAUCCAAACUGGGAAUCCCAGUUAAACCAGUAACCCCAAAUUUGGGAUCCCAGUGAAACCAGUGCUCCCAGUAAAUCCAAACUGGGAAUUCCAGUGACCCCAGGGACCCCAAACUGGUCCAAACAGGGCCCGAACUGGUUCAGUCUGGUCACAAACCCAGCCUAAACUGGUCUGAACUGGUCCAAACCGGCCUAAACUGGUCCGAACUGGUCUGAACUGGUCCGAACUGGUCCCAAACCGAGCCCGAACCGGUCCGGAACCGCCGCUUGGCCCCGCCCCCUCUCUGACCCCACCCCUCAACCAAUCAGCGCGGGGAGAGAGCGGCUCCGACCAAUCAGCGGCGAGAAUCCGCCGAGGGGGCGGGGCCGGGCGGCUCCGGCCAAUCAGAGCGGAGGGAACGGCGGGGAUCACGUGGGCGCGCGGUCACGUGGGGCGGGGCGCGGUCACGUGAGGGGCCCGGCGGUCACGUGGGCGGCGCGCGG